GACGAACGCUGGCGGCGUGCCUAAUACAUGCAAGUUGAGCGCUGAAGGUUGGUACUUGUACCUCCUGGAUGAGCAGCGAACGGGUGAGUAACGCGUGGGUAAUCUGCCUUUGAGCGUGGGACAACUUUUGGAAACGAAUGCUAAUACCGCAUAAAAACUUUAAACACAAGUUUUAAGUUUGAAAGAUGCAAUUGCAUCACUCAAAGAUGAUCCCGCGUUGUAUUAGCUAGUUGGUGAGGUAAAGGCUCACCAAAGCGAAGAUACAUAGCCGACCUUAGAGGGUGAAUGGCCAAAAUGGGACCGAGGAACGGGCCAAAACCCUAAGGGAGGGAGCAAGAGGGAAACUUUGGGAAUGGAGGAAAGGCUGGACGGGGAACGCCGGGGGAGUGAAGAAGGUUUUCGGAUCGGAAAACUCUGGUGGUAGAGAAGAAAGUUAGGGGGAGGGGAAAGCGCAUCAAGUGACGGUAACUAACCAGAAAGGGACGGCUAACUACGUG
rnacentral:rRNA from 1 species